ensembl:lncRNA
GUUGCAACUGUGCAGACCUCAGCUGUGUCUGCUGGACCUUCUCUGACACAGUGGGUCAGGAGAAAAACACUGACUGAGCCUGAAUCCACCGCUGAGUGACACCCUGCAUGAGACCGUCACACAGAAUGACAGACUGCGGGAAACAGAGUUCGCCAAGAGCGUUCCAAGGUGUGAUGAGCACAGUGGACAGCGGAGCCUGAAGCGAGGCUGGAUAAGGGCUUCAGCAUAAGAGUCUCUGCCCCAGCAGCAACAACUGGAAAGGAAAUUGUUGGCUCCCGUGUCUUACCGAGCAGCAUUUCUCCUUCAGAAAGCAGCUGCGUGCGUGUUUAUGUGUGCGCAGAGUGCCCUUCCCUCUGUUUCAUGUAAUAACCUUUUUUUCCCCUCACUUGCUGCAUGAAUUGUUUCAACACUGUUUCUCUUUAAGUAAAGGACAAAGAAAACUAAUUUUACUAUUAAUCGAAAGUGCCAAGUUUGUUGUUUUGUGCGCCUAUUUUAUCCCUCAAAGAAGCUGCAUAUUUAUUUUGUAAUUUUGUACAUUGUAUGUUUUGGAAUUUACUGUCAAUGUUUUGUGUCAAAGUGCCACUUGUUAAACAAAUGCCUAACAAAAAGGAGGAUCACACUUUGCCUGUGUUGCACAAAAUGUAAUAAAUAGAAGCACGGUAGACAAACAAAAAGCAUGCAGAAGCCGUACCAGCACCACAGAAGUGAAUAUUUAUAACCUACUAAGGGAAAUGAAAAUGCACCAAAUUAUAUAUAAAUCUCACAAUAUUCCUAAUGUCUUAAUUAGGGAUCGUUAAGCUUUUUUUGUCACUGUAAUUGUUUUGUUCUCUGUUUGCAUGCUUGUGCACACAGCAAAUCCAAUUCUUUUAUUAAGCUAACA